rnacentral:tRNA from 2 species
GCAGCAGUGGUGGAAUUGGCAGACACACUAGCUUGAGGGGCUAACGGGUGCAAACCCGUGCGAGUUCAAGUCUCGCCUGCUGCA